ensembl:lncRNA
AGCUGGAAUUAAGAUUACCAGGAGAAAUAUCAAAAACCUCAGAUAUGCAGAUGACACCACCCUUAUGGCAGAAAGUGAAGAGAAACUAAAAAGCCUCUAAAUGAAAGUGGAAGAGGAGAGUGAAAAAGUUGGAUUAAAGCUCAACAUUCAGAAAACUAAGAUUAUGGCAUCUGGUCCCAUCACUUCAUGGCAAAUAGAUGGGAAAACAGUGGAAACAGUGGCUGACUUUAUUUUUCUGGGCUCCAAAAUCACUACAGGUGGUGAUUGCAGCCAUGAAAUUAAAAGACCCUUAUUGGACUUCCCUGGUGGCUCAGAUGGUAAAGCAUCUGUCUACAAUGGGGUAGACCUGGGUUUGAUCCCUGGGUUGGGAAGAUGCCCUGGAGAAGGAAAUGGCAAUCCACUCCAGGACUAUUGCCUGGAAAAUCCCAUGAACAGAGGAGCCUGGUAGGUUACAGUCCACGGAGUCACAAAGAGUCAGACACGACCCUCACUUUCACUUUCAUUUACUCCUUGGAAGGAAAGUUAUGACCAACCUAGACAGCAUAUUAAAAAGCAGAGACAUUACUUUUCCAACAAAGGCCCAUCUAGUAAAGACUAUGGUUUUUCCAUCGGUCAUCUCUGGAUGUGAGAGUUGGACUAUAAAGAAAGCUGAGUGCCGAAGAAUUGAUGCUUUUGAACUGUGGUGUUGGAGAAGACUCUUGAGAGUCCCUUGGACUGCAAGGAGAUUCAACCAGUCCAUCCUAAAGGAGAUCAGUCCUGGGUGUUCAUUGGAAGGACUGAUGUUGAAGCUGAAAUUCCAAUACUUUGGCCACCUGAUGCGAAGAGCUGACUCAUUUGAAAAGACCCUGAUGCUGGGAAAGAUUGAGGGCAGAAGGAGAAGGGGACAACAGAGGAUGAGAUGGCAUCACCUACUCGAUGGACAUGGGUUUGGGUGGACUCUGGGAGUUGGUGAUGGACAGGGAGGCCUGGCAUGCUGUGGUUCAUAGGGUUGCAAAGAGUCAGACACGACAGAGCGACUGAACUGAACUGAAUUUACAUACAGUAAAAGUCACCUAUUUUAAACAUACAAGAUUUUCUUGUGUUUCGUAGAGAAAAAUAUUAAUUUUUAUGCAACGGUGUUUUAGAUCCAUUCAGGUUUUUACCUCCUGGGUUGGAGUGGGGACAUUUGGGUCUGGUAUUUGCCUCCAUUUAUUAUGAGUAAGGCCGUGCCCCCUUUCUGUUUGGAUCUCCCCCUUAGAACCUAAAUGUUAGGGCCAGGUGGUAUUGUCUGCGUAGCUACUCAGUUGCUGAAACAGGUGGGGUUAGACAUGGGAACCAUUCUGAGAGCUAAGCCUCUGUGGCUUUUCUCUGAAUUUGCUAGAAACACUUGCAUUUCAGGCCAGUACCCUUGGCUUUUAUGUGCUAAGUCACUUCAGCCGUGUCUGACUCUUUGUGACCCUAUGGACUGUAGCCCUCCAAGCUCCUCUGUCCAUGGGAUUCUCCAGGCAAGAAUACUGGAGUGGGCUGCCAUGCCCUCCUCCAGGGGAUCUUCCUGACCCUGGGGUCAAACACAUGGGGUCGAACAUGUCUCUUACAUCUCCUGUUUUGGCAGGAAGGUUCUUUACCACCAGUGCCACCUGGGUUUAUAAGCUGGUUCUAUUUCCUGGUGAGAGGAGUGCCCCUUUGAGUUUUGUGUGUGUGUGUCUUUCCAUUUCCACAUGACCCAGCCACUCUGGGAGCCAUCGUUGCUAAUAUCGUCAUCUCUAGGAGCCAAGCUUGGAGAAAACAGCAUGCUGGCAAACACCGCUCCCUGAAAACCCCCUUUGAGAGAAAUCCUUGGGUGAGAUUGAAGAGAUUUGCAGAAGUUACAAUGCUGUUGUUGGUUUUUUUUUUUUCCCUGUACUGGAUACAGCAGGCUAUUUUGUCUUUUGCAGGACUGAUAUUUGGGUUCACUUGGAAUUAAGCAGUUUCCCACACUUGAGAAGUUCGUCUGUGUUGGUGCAGAGAAUCCCCAAUGCAAAAGUUCGGCAAGAAUGUUGAAGCUACAAUGGAAGUUGGGAAACUUUUUUCAACAAAUGUUCAGACACGUCCUCACAUGUCUGAUUGUGUACAGUAGCACCACAGGAAAGAGCUAAUAGCUCAGUUCAGAGUGUGCAUGCUGCUGCUGCUAAGUCACUUCAGUUGUGUCUGACUCCGUGUGACCCCAUAGACGGCAGCCCACCAGGCUCCCCCAUCCCUGGGAUUCUCCAGGCAAGAACACUGGAGUGGGUUGCCAUUUCCUUCUCCAAUGCAUGAAAGUGAAAAGUGAAAGUGAAGUCUCUUAGUCGUGUCCGACUCUUCGAGACCCCAUAGACUGCAGCCUACCAGGCUCCUCCACCCAUGGGAUUUUCCAGGCAAGAGUACUGGAAUGGGUUGCCAUUGCCUUCUCCGUCAAAGUGUGCAUGGUGACUUUUAAAAAGAAAUAGAACUGCCAUACGACCCAGCAAUCCCACUUCUGGGCAUACACACCGAGGAAACCAGAAUUGAAAGAGACAUGUGUACCCCAAUGUUCAUCGCAGCGCUGUUUAUAAUAGCCAGGACGUGGAAGCAACCUAGCUGUCCAUCAGCAGAUGAAUGGAUAAGAAAGCUGUGGUACAUAUACACAAUGGAGUAUUACUCAGCCAUUAAAAAGAACACAUUUGAAUCAGUUCUAAUGAGGUGGAUGAAACUGGAGCCUAUUAUACAGAGUGAAGUAAGCCAGAAAGAAAAACACCAAUACAGUAUACUAACGCAUAUAUAUGGAAUUUAGAAAGAUGGUAAUGACAACCCUGUAUGCAAGACAGCAAAAGAGACACAGUAUAGAACAGUCUUUUGGAUUCUGU